rnacentral:rRNA from 1 species
UACGGGGGGGGCAAGCGUUGUUCGGAAUUACUGGGCGUAAAGGGCUCGUAGGCGGCCAACUAAGUCAGACGUGAAAUCCCUCGGCUCAACCGGGGAACUGCGUCUGAUACUGGGUGGCUUGAAUCCGGGAGAGGGAUGCGGAAUUCCAGGUGUAGCGGUGAAAUGCGUAGAUAUCUGGAGGAACACCGGUGGCGAAGGCGGCAUCCUGGACCGGCAUUGACGCUGAGGCGCGAAAGCCAGGGGAGCAAACGGG